rnacentral:lncRNA from 1 species
UGUAAAGGCAAAGGUGAUUAAACAUGCAACAAUCGCUGAGGCCUUAUCCUUCACUUCGUGGAGAAAGAGAUUAUCCCGCUUAAUAAAUAAAAGUUUAAUCAAUAAAGAAAAAAAAAUCUCAUCCUACCUCUUCGCCAGAUACUUGCAGCACAUUUCUUCUAAAUCUAGAGAAGAACCUGCCAAAACAUCUUUCUACAAAAAAAAAAAAAAAAGGAUAGGAAAAUUACUAUUGAGAGUCAAGCCAAUUAACAGAAACUUUGCAUGGAAGAAUGAAUAAAAACUCAUAAUGCAAUUAAGUGACUGGCGCGCACACACACAAGCAGUAAGAAGGCAGACAAAGGAGGGAAAGUUACAUUAUUUCAGAAACAAGUUCUAUUCAAUGAUUCUGCCGCUCAAAAUUCUUACCUUGUUGGCUCUUAAACAGGGCCUUAGCUUUCUUUCAAGAGUACCUGGGUUCAUAAGUGUUGCGAAAAUAAUCAUGCAUUCUGUUAUCUUUUUUAAUUUUAAAUGUGGACCAGCCCUAUUCUUCAAUGAUUGAACCGCUUGCUUCAGAAACUCCUAACGCUGGAUUUGCACAACAGAAACUCAAACUAAAAAGAAAAUACAGAGAGGGAAUAGAAAGAUAAUUCGUAUUUCCUGCUUAAGUUCUUCCUUCCUGGAUUUGUAACUCUCCUCAUACCUUCAGAUUCUCACAAACUUUACACUAAAAAAAAAUAAUAAUAAAGCGAUUUUUUAUUACAGAGAUUGACAACUUUCCUUCCGACUUUGCCAAUGCUAAACCCUAAUUUGGAAACACCCGAUACUUCAAUGAUUCUUUUACUCGUAAGCAGAUUGGAGAGGGUGAGAUCCGACGAGGUUGCUCUUAACGCCGUGGAGACCGAAUCGCAGCGCGUCGUUCUAGACUCCUCCAAUUUCAUGUUGAAUCGUCUUAGGUGCCUCCAUUUUCCUCUUCUUUUUUUCUUUUUGAAUAUAAUCUCUUCUUGUUAAUUUUUUUUUGGGAUUUUUGUUAUAAUGUCGCAGGGAGGGAGGGAGGGAGGGAGAGAAAGCGAGAAAGACUGCCUGUUUGCAUAGUUAGGGUUUCAGGGGGAACUUAGGGGUAAAAUGGC